rnacentral:rRNA from 1 species
UACGUAGGGAGCAAGCGUUGUCCGGAUUUAUUGGGCGUAAAGAGCUCGUAGGCGGCCCGGUAAGUCGGAUGUGAAAUCUCACGGCUCAACCGUGGAACUGCAUUCGAUACUGUCGGGCUAGAGGCAGGUAGGGGAGAUCGGAAUUCCCGGUGUAGCGGUGAAAUGCGCAGAUAUCGGGGAGGAACACCGGUGGCGAAGGCGGAUCUCUGGGCCUGUCCUGACGCUCAGGCGCGAAAGCUAGGGGAGCAAACAGG